rnacentral:rRNA from 1 species
AGGGUUUGAUUCUGGCUCAGGAUGAACGCUGGCGGCGUGCCUAACACAUGCAAGUCGAACGGAGUUACUUUGGUGAAGUUUUCGGAUGGAUCUGAUUUAACUUAGUGGCGGACGGGUGAGUAAUGCGUGAGCAACCUGCCCUUCAGAGGGGGACAACAGUUGGAAACGACUGCUAAUACCGCAUAAUGUAUUCGGAAGGCAUCUUCUGAAUACCAAAGGAGAAAUCCGCUGAGGGAUGGGCUCACGUCUGAUUAGUUAGUUGGUGAGGUAACGGCUCACCAAGACUGCGAUCAGUAGCCGGACUGAGAGGUUGAACGGCCACAUUGGGACUGAGAUACGGCCCAG